rnacentral:rRNA from 1 species
UACGUAGGGGGCAAGCGUUGUCCGGAUUUAUUGGGCGUAAAGAGCGUGUAGGCGGUCAGGUAGGUCCGUUGUGAAAACUCGAGGCUCAACCUCGAGACGCCGAUGGAAACCAUCUGACUAGAGUCCGGAAGAGGAGAGUGGAAUUCCUGGUGUAGCGGUGAAAUGCGCAGAUAUCAGGAGGAACACCGGUGGCGAAGGCGGGUCUCUGGGCCGUUACUGACGCUGAGGAGCGAAAGCGUGGGGAGCGAACAGG